rnacentral:rRNA from 1 species
UGGGGAAUUUUGGACAAUGGGCGCAAGCCUGAUCCAGCCAUGCCGCGUGCGGGAAGAAGGCCUUCGGGUUGUAAACCGCUUUUGUCAGGGAAGAAAUCCUUUGAGCUAAUACCUCGGGGGGAUGACGGUACCUGAAGAAUAAGCACCGGCUAACUACGUGCCAGCAGCCGCGGUAAUACGUAGGGUGCAAGCGUUAAUCGGAAUUACUGGGCGUAAAGCGUGCGCAGGCGGUUUUGUAAGUCUGAUGUGAAAUCCCCGGGCUCAACCUGGGAAUUGCAUUGGAGACUGCAAGGCUAGAAUCUGGCAGAGGGGGGUAGAAUUCCACGUGUAGCAGUGAAAUGCGUAGAUAUGCGGAGGAACACCGAUGGCGAAGGCAAUCCCCUGGGCCUGCACUGACGCUCAUGCACGAAAGCGUGGGGAGCAAACA